CAAACUGGAUCUGGCUGACGGUCAGAGGAGGAAAGUGACCAUCAGAGAGGGACAGAGACUUGCAGAGCAGCACCAGGCUGUGUUCUAUGAGUGCAGUGCCAAGACUGGACAUAACCUGGAGGAGAUGAUGGUCCAGCUGGCCGGCAUGUUGGCCGCUCGGCAAGAUCAGCAAUGUGGAGGAGCUCUUUUACUGACCGAGGACACGACCAAAGAAGGCUGCUGUAUCUAGACGUGGACUGGCUUUUUGCAGCCGUGCAUUGGUCUUUCCUGUCACGUCACCUUAUUGAAACAUUUGGGAAGAAUAAGAGGGAUGGUGACUCUCAUGCCAGUAAUACCCCAAAGGUAAGGUCUUAAGACCUACAGUAGCUCUGGAAGCACUAUCGUGUGUUUUCUCACUAUGUUUACGUCACCGUAGGACAGAUGUUUACUUAAUACGUUGCUUGCGUUGUUGGUAAAAGGAACCCAAUAAAGGCUAUUCUG